GUAGGUGGCAAGCGUUGUCCGGGAAUUAUUGGGGCGUAAAGCGCGCGCAGGCGGUCCUUUAAGGUCUGAUGUGAAAGCCCACGGGCUCAACCGUGGAGGGUCAUUGGAAACUGGGGGACUUGAGUACAGAAGAGGAAAGCGGAAUUCCAAGUGCAGCGGUGAAAUGCGUAGAGAUUUGGAGGAACACCAGUGGCGAAGGCGGCUUUCUGGUCUGUAACUGACGCUGAGGCGCGAAAGCGUGGGGAGCAAACAGGAUUAGAUACCCUGGUAGUCCACGCCGUAAACGAUGAGUGCUAAGUGUUAGGGGGUUUCCGCCCCUUAGUGCUGCAGCUAACGCAUUAAGCACUCCGCCUGGGGAGUACGGCCGCAAAGGCUGA
rnacentral:rRNA from 1 species